rnacentral:rRNA from 1 species
GCUCAGAACAAACGCUGGCGGCGUGCCUAACACAUGCAAGUCGUACGAGAAAGUUGGCUUCGGCCAAUGAGUAAAGUGGCGCACGGGUGAGUAACGCGUGGAUAAUCUGCCCUUCAGCGGGGAAUAACCCAUCGAAAGGUGGGCUAAUACCCCAUAACACUGUUUNACAACUGUCAAACAGUCAAAGAGAGCCUCUGCUUGCAAGCUUUUACUGAAGGUUGAGUCCGCGUACCAUUAGCUAGUUGGUAGGGUAAUGGCCUACCAAGGCGACGAUGGUUAGCUGGUCUGAGAGGAUGAUCAGCCACACUGGAACUGAGACACGGUCCAGACUCCUACGGGAGGCAGCAGUGAGGAAUCUUGCGCAAUGGGGGAAACCCUGACGCAGCAACGCCGCGUGAGUGAGGAAGGUCUUCGGGUCGUAAAGCUCUGUCAGGCGGGAAGAAAUGCAUGGAGGUGAACAGCCGCCAUGCUUGACGGUACCGCCAGAGGAAGCACCGGCUAACUCCGUGCCAGCAGCCGCGGUAAUACGGGGGGUGCAAGCGUUGUUCGGAAUCAUUGGGCGUAAAGAGCGUGUAGGCGGCUUGGUAAGUCAGAUGUGAAAGCCCUGGGCUCAACCCGGGAAGUGCAUUUGAAACUGCCAGGCUCGAGUAGGGGAGAGGGAAGUGGAAUUCCUGGUGUAGAGGUGAAAUUCGUAGAUAUCAGGAGGAACACCGGUGGCGAAGGCGACUUCCUGGCCCUAUACUGACGCUGAGACGCGAGAGCGUGGGUAGCAAACAGGAUUAGAUACCCUGGUAGUCCACGCCGUAAACGAUGUUCACUAGGUGUUGGGGGUAUUGACCCCCUCAGUGCCGCAGCUAACGCAUUAAGUGAACCGCCUGGGGAGUACGGUCGCAAGACUAAAACUUAAAGGAAUUGACGG